AUUGAACGCUGGCGGAAUGCUUUACACAUGCAAGUCGAGCGGCAGCGCGGGGGCAACUCUGGCGGCGAGCGGCGAACGGGUGAGUAACACAUCGGAACGUGCCCAGUUGUGGGGGAUAGCCCGGCGAAAGCCGGAUUAAUACCGCAUACGACCUGAGGGUGAAAGGGGGGGAUCGCAAGACCUCUCGCAGUUGGAGCGGCCGAUGGCGGAUUAGCUAGUUGGUGAGGUAAAGGCUCACCAAGGCGACGAUCCGUAGCUGGUCUGAGAGGACGACCAGCCACACUGGAACUGAGACACGGUCCAGACUCCUACGGGAGGCAGCAGUGGGGAAUUUUGGACAAUGGGGGCAACCCGGAUCCAGCCAUUCCGCGUGAGUGAAGAAGGCCUUCGGGUUGUAAAGCUCUUUCGGCAGGAACGAAACGGUGAGGGUUAAUACCUCUUAUCAAUGACGGUACCUGAAGAAGAAGCACCGGCUAACUACGUGCCAGCAGCCGCCGUAA
rnacentral:rRNA from 1 species